UCGCCUGUUUUUCAAAAACAUGGUUUCUUGAAUUUAUUUAAGAAAUUUGGCCUGCCCACUGAAAAUUUUUGAAGGGCCGCAGUAUUUUGACUGUGCAAAGGUAGCAUAAUCAUUAGUCUUUUAAUUAAGGGCUGGAAUGAAUGGUUGGACGAGGUAAAAUCUGUUUUAUGUAAAUUUAGUUGAAUUUAGAUUUUAAGUAAAAAUACUUAAAUUUUAUUAAGGGACGAGAAGACCCUAUAGAGUUUAAUAUAUUAAAUAAUUAAUUGAGUUAAUUAAAAAUUUUUGAUUAUUAUGGUUUAUAUUUAAUUGGGGUGAUUGGAAGAUAAAAAUAACUCUUCUUUAUAAUUAAUAUAGUUAAUAAUUUAAUGAUCCAUAUUUAAUGAUUAAAAGAUUAAAUUACCUUAGGGAUAACAGCAUAAUUCUUUUUAAGAGUUCAUAUCGAAAAAGGAGAUUGUGACCUCGAUGUUGGAUUAAGAUUAGUUUUGGGUGUAGAUGUUCAAUAACUUGGUCUGUUCGACCUUUAAAAUCUUACAUGAUCUGAGUUCAAACCGGAGA
rnacentral:rRNA from 1 species